rnacentral:tRNA from 1 species
GCCCGGGGGGCUCAGUCGGUUGAGCGUCCGACUUUCGGCUUGGGUCACGAUCUCACGGUUCGUGGGUUCGAGCCCCGCGCCGGGCU